GACGAACGCUGGCGGCAUGCCUAACACAUGCAAGUCGAACGAGACCUUCGGGUCUAGUGGCGCACGGGUGCGUAACGCGUGGGAAUCUGCCCUUGGGUACGGAAUAACAGCGAGAAAUUGCUGCUAAUACCGUAUAAUGACGUAAGUCCAAAGAUUUAUCGCCCAGGGAUGAGCCCGCGUAGGAUUAGCUUGUUGGUGAGAUAAAAGACUCACCAAGGCGACGAUCCUUAGCUGGUCUGAGAGGAUGAUCAGCCACACUGGGACUGAGACACGGCCCAGACUCCUACGGGAGGCAGCAGUGGGGAAGUAUUGGACAAUGGGCGAAAGCCUGAUCCAGCAAUGCCGCGUGAGUGAUGAAGGCCUUAGGGUUGUAAAGCUCUUUUGCCCGGGAUGAUAAUGACAGUACCGGGAGAAUAAGCUCCGGCUAACUCCGUGCCAGCCGCCGCCGUAAU
rnacentral:rRNA from 1 species